rnacentral:rRNA from 1 species
UACGUAGGGGGCAAGCGUUGUCCGGAAUCAUUGGGCGUAAAGAGCGCGUAGGCGGUCCGGUAAGUCCGCUCUGAAAGUCCUGGGCUCAACCUGGGAACUGCGCUUGAUACGGCAGAGCUAGAGGAUGGAAGAGGCUCGCGGAAUUCCCAGUGUAGAGGUGAAAUUCGUAGAUAUUGGGAAGAACACCGGUGGCGAAGGCGGCGAGCUGGUCCAUUACUGACGCUGAGGCGCGACAGCGUGGGGAGCAAACAGG